GUUUCUUUAGCUCAAUUGGUAGAGCAGCCCACCGUAACUGAUUUCACACCGGGAUGGAUGUCGGUUCAAAUCCGACAAGAAACA